GAAAGGGCAAUUCCCUUAUAUUUUCCUUAUCCUAUUAGCUAAUUGAUUUGCUGAGUCAUUUAGCUUCUCCAUUUAACCACUCCACUUAGCCUUUUCGUGACACUCUGGGUCUUGCACUGGUAAGGGUAAAACAGUGCAAAUUAGCCAUGUAACAAGCUCUCCGAUUCGCUAUCACUUGGCAUGUCAUAUGCUGAGGUAUGACAUGGAUGUGGGAAUGAGAAGGUGGUAGAGGAAGAAUGACGAGGGUGCUUCAGCUAAGGGAAAACUUGGAAGCAUCCAACCAGUGGCAUUUAGAAGACGCUAUUCGGGCUAAAUUUAAUGAAGUGGAGCAUUUAAUUUGCCGAAAGGGUAACAUUUCAGUGAUUCUGCCCUGUCUGGACAUACAAAGAGACCAGUUACAGCUGCAGAUCUCCCUUGGAAUCCCAUGCAGGGAGAUAGCGAGACAUUUCGAUGUGUCUUUGAAAACUCUCCAUCACAGAAUGGCCCAGUGGGGAUCAAGACGAGAUGACUUGAACAGCAAUAUCAGUGACAAGGAGUUGGAUGUGACUGUGUCUGACAUUCAUCACCAAUACCCCAGCACUGGCUACAAGAUGAUAUUGGGUCACUUAAGAUCAAGGAAACUUUUUGUCAAAAAUGGAGAGUGGUUGUGCAUGGUGGUAUUGAUGGGUUUUCACAGCUCAUCCUUUACCUGACUGCAGCGACCAACAACAGAGCCCAGACUGUCCUGGAUAGUUGCCUGUCUGCAGUACAACAGUAUAGUUUCCCUUCCACAGUCUGCCCAGAUAAGGGAGGGGAAAACAUUCUGGUGGCACGCUUCAUGGCGACCAGACGUGGACUCAAUAGGAACUCUCACAUUGCAGGAAGAAGUGUCUACAAUCAGAGCUGUGGAGGGAUGUAUACCACUAUACCUCUAUACCAUUUUUCUUCACCUGGAAGCUGAAGGGUGGCUUAAUCCAGGCAAGGAGACAGACCUCUAUGCUUUGCAUAGAUGUUACAUGCCACAUCCAGUCACAUCUGCAACAAUUCCAGAGAGCAUGGAGAGCACCACCACUCCUUAAGAUCAGCCAGAAACCAGUCCCCGCUGCAGCUGAUGUUGAGCAAAGCAAGAGAUGGGAACAGGACAAACUUUUGUCAGGCAGAUGACGAAUGCAGAGUUGUGGAGAGGGUUGCAGAGACCUGUGACAGACGGAGUUCGCAUUCCUGAGUUGGAGCUGUCCCGUGCCCUAUCUGUGGCAGAAAUGGCAACACUGCGAAAUCCAACUGUACCAUUGCCAGAGACAAUACAAACUUAAAUUGAGACAGUAAGCAUUUUUCGAGAAAUGCUGGAUCAUGUAUGAUUUGUCAUACAGAUAAAAGUACUGGUGAUUGAAUUGUAGUUAACAGCUGAUAUGAUUAAUAUUUGUGAAAGUGGUCACUGAUAGUGAGGAUUUUACAAAAAAAAGACUGCAGUUCCCCUCACCUCUACCGAGCAUUUCAGCAUCUAACCACUUGUGUUAGGAGAAAAAAAAUCCAUUGUAAACUACCUGCCAAUCAUUGAACAGCAGACAAAGUUAUCAAACCAGAUAUUAUUUUGGGAAGACCAAAACAAAUGGAGAGUGAAUAUUGAACAGGCAUUCAUCACGUGAAGAGAAAUACCACUACAAUUGGAUAAUGAUAUUGUUUUGUGUCUGCUGAAUAUGUAAAUAAGCAGCUGCUUGCUAUCAUGUUCAACGUGUCGUUAUAAGGUGAUAAUAAGUGAGUUUUGUUUACAUCUUAUUGCACUGCUGUGGCCAAAAAAAGUCUAUUUGCCUGGUCUGUACAUUCAGCAUGGUUGUAGUGAUUUGGUAGUUCCCAACAACCUGCAUUCCUGUUCAUAUUACACAUUAGCGUAAUACAAUGCAAUAAAAUGACUGAAAGAAUUAAUUUGUGUCAACAUUCAACACCUCUUAAAUAUUACUUAAAAUCUUAAAUUCAACACAUUUAGAUCAGUGCACUAUGAAAUAGUGAAAAUGAGAAACCUCAACAUUUCUUUAAAACUUGCACAAUGAAACUGGUGGCUGUCUAAGCUACACCAACAGUUGGUGCCCAAAGAAGAGCACUGCACAUUUGUGCUUUGAAUGAGUCAAAGUCUUUGUGGACUGGCAAUCUUAAAAGAAUGUUACAUGUGUUUGCUUCUGGAAAAAUCUUGCCCGACUAUUCUGGAAGAAUUUCAAUUGUGGGCUGAAGGAGAAAGCCAUUGGGAGGUAUAGUAGAGGACCCAGAUGCAAAUUCCAGCACAUUCUCCAAGGUCAAGGGGGCACAUUCUCCUUCUAGAAUGAAAAUUGAGUUUUUUGUUGAGCAUUUAAAAUAAUGUUUUUUUCAUUCAAAACAAUUAUCCCACAGCAACUUGCAAGUUUUC